rnacentral:pre_miRNA from 1 species
AUGUAGGUCAAUCUGUCUUUAGGCAGGGAUAAAUUACUCUUUAAAAAAAUCCUAAUUAGUUUUCCCUUCAAGUCAAGCAUCUUGU